rnacentral:ncRNA from 1 species
AAAAAAGAAACUGGCUUCUCAGAAGUGCUAUUCUGUGCAUGUCCUUUGGGGAUUAAAGGAAGCAGAAGAGAGCUGUGGGCAUUCUGAUGGUUUUCCUUCACCCAGGAAGGCAGCAGAGGAGCCCAGAAGGGCUUUUGCUUCUGGCACUAAGCACCCACCACAAGGGCACUGGGUAUGUCCCAUUCCAACGAUAGUAUCAAGUGAUGAGCAUGCCCAUCAAACUGAGCCAAUGGACCUCAGGCAGGGUUAAGGGAGGACAGAAACCUCCUGUGGAGCAAAGGGCAAAGACUCCCUUGAUCUUGAUUCUGAGGGUGAAUAUAGACAGGAAAAGCAGAUUCUUCUGACCUUUGGGAUUUUAAGCAGAAGUCAGAAAAGUUGCCAUAGAGAUGAAUGGCUUGAGGCAGCUAAGCAUUCGCACAGACAUCAUUUUUUGAUUCUUCAAUAUUGCCUCUUCCCAUUAUUAGGAAGCACAAGUCACCCAGAAUUGGAUUGUUCUCCUACUAACAGAGAGUGUGAGCUGGGUUUAAAUUGUCAUGAUAAAAGUUGGUUUUAC